UACGAAGGGGGCUAGCGUUGCUCGGAAUCAUUGGGCGUAAAGGGUGCGUAGGCGGCGCGGUAAGUCGGGUGUGAAAUCUCGGGGCUUAACUCCGAAACUGCAUUCGAUACUGCCGUGCUUGAGGACUGGAGAGGAGACUGGAAUUUACGGUGUAGCAGUGAAAUGCGUAGAUAUCGUAAGGAAGACCAGUGGCGAAGGCGGGUCUCUGGACAGUUCCUGACGCUGAGACACGAAGGCCAGGGGAGCAAACGGG
rnacentral:rRNA from 1 species